GGCCAGGUUCUCUAUCCAAGACAAACCUCACCUUUUUCUGCCAAUGUCUAUGAAAUAGUACAUGGACCGAGUCCAUUUGGAAAAUGCUCAUUAUAUGGGAGGCUGUGGACGCUGGGACAAAAACAUCUCAGACGCUGUUCUCAGGGAGCUCACAGUCAAGUGAGGAAGACAAAUAAUUAACAAGGCCGAAGCAAACACAUCUCAGUAGUCCAGGGGGCAUCACUAGUGAGAACUCAAAGAAACCUUCCGUCCAAACUGGAUGAACAGCUAUUUCAGCAGCUCCCUAUGGCUUCGUCUCUUCAUUCACGGCAUGCCACGUGGCAGGAACCUGGAGACGCUGAGCAUCAGCCAUGGAUCACGAUGCUCUCUGAACGGGAAGGUGGCCGAGGGGCUCCAACAGCUCCUCACCAUGAGCCAUUCCAUUAUAGGCACUGUGUUGAAGCCCCAGCCACCGAGACCUGAGAGGUCCUAUUUUACUCUGGGUCAUGGGCAGAGAGGAGAAACAGCUGGAAAGAUAAAGCCAGAACUAGGAAAAUGGCCAUAGAAGACCACGGUGAAACUCAUCAAAUAGAACACUUAAAAUAUGUGUAUUUCAUGUUAUGCUAAUUAUUCUGGAUUAACCUGAAUUUUAAAAAUUAAAUUUGAAAAAGGAA
rnacentral:lncRNA from 1 species